GCCGCGGUGGUGGAAUUGGUAGACACGUACGUUUGAGGGGCGUAUGCCUUUUGGCAUGAGAGUUCGAGUCUCUCCCGCGGCA
rnacentral:tRNA from 1 species